rnacentral:rRNA from 1 species
GGGUUGUGAGGUUAAGCGACUAAGCGUACACGGUGGAUGCCCUGGCAGUCAGAGGCGAUGAAGGGCGUGCUAAUCUGCGAUAAGCGCCGGUAAGGUGAUAUGAACCGUUAUAACCGGCGAUACCCGAAUGGGGAAACCCAGUGUGAUUCGUCACACUAUCAUUAACUGAAUCCAUAGGUUAAUGAGGCGAACCGGGGGAACUGAAACAUCUAAGUACCCCGAGGAAAAGAAAUCAACCGAGAUUCCCCCAGUAGCGGCGAGCGAACGGGGAGGAGCCCAGAGCCUGAAUCAGCAUGUGUGUUAGUGGAAGCGUCUGGAAAGGCGCGCGAUACAGGGUGACAGCCCCGUACACAAAAGCGCAUGUGCUGUGAGCUCGAUGAGUAGGGCGGGACACGUGGUAUCCUGUCUGAAUAUGGGGGGACCAUCCUCCAAGGCUAAAUACUCCUGACUGACCGAUAGUGAACCAGUACCGUGAGGGAAAGGCGAAAAGAACCCCGGCGAGGGGAGUGAAAAAGAACCUGAAACCGUGUACGUACAAGCAGUGGGAGCACCCUUUGGGUGUGACUGCGUACCUUUUGUAUAAUGGGUCAGCGACUUAUAUUCUGUAGCAAGGUUAACCGAAUAGGGGAGCCGGAGGGAAACCGAGUCUUAACCGGGCGUUAAGUUGCAGGGUAUAGACCCGAAACCCGGUGAUCUAGCCAUGGGCAGGUUGAAGGUUGGGUAACACUAACUGGAGGACCGAACCGACUAAUGUUGAAAAAUUAGCGGAUGACCUGUGGCUGGGGGUGAAAGGCCAAUCAAACCGGGAGAUAGCUGGUUCUCCCCGAAAGCUAUUUAGGUAGCGCCUCGUGAAUUCAUCUCCGGGGGUAGAGCACUGUUUCGGCUAGGGGGCCAUCCCGGCUUACCAACCCGAUGCAAACUGCGAAUACCGGAGAAUGUUAUCACGGGAGACACACGGCGGGUGCUAACGUCCGUCGUGAAGAGGGAAACAACCCAGACCGCCAGCUAAGGUCCCAAAGUCAUGGUUAAGUGGGAAACGAUGUGGGAAGGCCCAGACAGCCAGGAUGUUGGCUUAGAAGCAGCCAUCAUUUAAAGAAAGCGUAAUAGCUCACUGGUCGAGUCGGCCUGCGCGGAAGAUGUAACGGGGCUAAACCAUGCACCGAAGCUGCGGCAGCGACACUGUGUGUUGUUGGGUAGGGGAGCGUUCUGUAAGCCUGUGAAGGUGUGUCGUGAGGCAUGCUGGAGGUAUCAGAAGUGCGAAUGCUGACAUAAGUAACGAUAAAGCGGGUGAAAAGCCCGCUCGCCGGAAGACCAAGGGUUCCUGUCCAACGUUAAUCGGGGCAGGGUGAGUCGACCCCUAAGGCGAGGCCGAAAGGCGUAGUCGAUGGGAAACGGGUUAAUAUUCCCGUACUUGGUGUUACUGCGAAGGGGGGACGGAGAAGGCUAUGUUGGCCGGGCGACGGUUGUCCCGGUUUAAGCGUGUAGGUGUGUGUUCCAGGUAAAUCCGGUUCACUUUAACACUGAGGCGUGACGACGAGGCACUACGGUGCUGAAGCAACAAAUGCCCUGCUUCCAGGAAAAGCCUCUAAGCAUCAGGUAACAUCAAAUCGUACCCCAAACCGACACAGGUGGUCAGGUAGAGAAUACCAAGGCGCUUGAGAGAACUCGGGUGAAGGAACUAGGCAAAAUGGUGCCGUAACUUCGGGAGAAGGCACGCUGACACGUAGGUGAAGUGAUUUACUCAU